GCGAUGACUGGGCUCCGCGGCCGUCAGAGGCCUGGGCACGAUCCCGCCGCCAAUGCCACGAGACGCCUCGUCACGUCGGCUCCAGCUUGGAGGGUUCUGCCGGGCCCUGGCGAGCCGCGCCGUUCGCAGGAGCCAGAGCGCCGCUCAGGUGGCGCCGCCGGAUAUUGUGCUGUGGGGCUCCCCGCCGCGAUGGAAAGGCGGCCCGAAGACUGGCGGCGCUUUGGCCAGCAUCGUGAGCUGGCGCCUCUUUCACGUGGUGACGGUGCGCCUGCAGGGCGACCGGGCCAGGAACGCCUAGGCUUGAUAUGCCCGCGGAAGCCGCCGGCCCGA
rnacentral:rRNA from 1 species